rnacentral:rRNA from 1 species
UACGUAGGGUGCAAGCGUUAAUCGGAAUUACUGGGCGUAAGCGUGCGCAGGCGGUUCGUUAAGUCAGAUGUGAAAGCCCCCGGGCUCAACCUGGGAACUGCAUUUGAAACUGGCGGGCUUGAGUGUGGCAGAGGGGGGUGGAAUUCCGCGUGUAGCAGUGAAAUGCGUAGAGAUGUGGAGGAACACCAGUGGCGAAGGCGGCUCUUUGGCCUGUAACUGACGCUGAGGCGCGAAAAGCGUGGGGGAGCAAAACAGG